AAGCUCACUUUGGCAGCAUGUAUGCUAAAACUGGAAAGAUACGGAGAAGAUGAGCAUGGCCGCAGUGGAAGGAUGACACACAACUUCAUGAAGGGUUCCAUAUUUUU
rnacentral:snRNA from 1 species